rnacentral:rRNA from 1 species
UACGUAGGGACCAAGCGUUGUUCGGAUUUACUGGGCGUAAAGGGCGCGUAGGCGGCUUAACAAGUCACUUGUGAAAUCUCCGGGCUUAACUCGGAACGGCCAAGUGAAACUGUCAAGCUAGAGUGCAGAAGGGGCAAUCGGAAUUCCUGGUGUAGCGGUGGAAUGCGCAGAUAUCAGGAGGAACACCGGUGGCGAAGGCGGGUCUCUGGGCAGUAACUGACGCUGGAGGAGCGAAAGCGUGGGAGCGAACAGG